AGCAUCCGUAGCCGGCUGCUCAAGUUUCCGGUUAAAUCCACACGCUUAACGUAUGGGCUGCCGGAAAUACUGUUCAGCUAGGGAGUGGGAGAGGUAGACGGUACUCGAUAGGAAGGGGUAAAAUCCUUUGAUCUAUUGAUGACCACCAGUGGCGAAGGCUGCUUACUAGAACACGCCUGACGGUCAGGGACGAAAGCUGGGGCAGCGAACCGGAUUAGAUACCCGGGUAGUCCCAGCUGCAAACGAUGCUAGCUAGGUGUUGGGUCGGCCACGCGCCGCCCCAGUGCCGCAGGGAAGCCGUUAAGCUAGCCGCCUGGGGAGUACGGCCGCAAGGCUGAAACUUAAAGGAAUUGGCGGGGGAGCACAAGCC
rnacentral:rRNA from 2 species